ensembl:snoRNA small nucleolar RNA SNORA11
GGGGUGUGCUUAGAGCAGAAGAAUGGCCUGAAGACUGGCUUCUCUGUUUACAACACACCCAACAAGAAUCUAGGAUCAUUGUGACAAAGGGCACAAAUCUUGUGAGCUCUCUUUUGAGCAAAUGUCCUACACAU